rfam:Brachypodium distachyon strain Bd21 chromosome 2, whole genome shotgun sequence.
UAUAUACUCCCUCCAUCUCAUAUUAAGUGUCUCAAAUUUGUCCAAAUAUGGAUGUAUCUAUACAUAAAAAAAAUGUCUAGAUACAUGUAAUAUUUCGACACUUAAUAUGGGACGGAGGGAGUAGUAU